rnacentral:rRNA from 1 species
GACGAACGCUGGCGGCGUGCUUAACACAUGCAAGUCGAACGGAAAGGCCCUGCUUUUGUGGGGUGCUCGAGUGGCGAACGGGUGAGUAACACGUGAGUAACCUGCCCUUGACUUUGGGAUAACUUCAGGAAACUGGGGCUAAUACCGGAUAGGAGCUCCUGCUGCAUGGUGGGGGUUGGAAAGUUUCGGCGGUUGGGGAUGGACUCGCGGCUUAUCAGCUUGUUGGUGGGGUAGUGGCUUACCACGGCUUUGACGGGUAGCCGGCCUGAGAGGGUGACCGGCCACAUUGGGACUGAGAUAGGGCCCAGACUCCUACGGGAGGCAGCAGUGGGGAAUAUUGCACAAUGGGCGGAAGCCUGAUGCAGCAACGCCGCGUGCGGGAUGACGGCCUUCGGGUUGUAAACCGCUUUCGCCUGUGACGAAGCGUGAGUGACGGUAAUGGGUAAAGAAGCACCGGCUAACUACGUG